CCGGAUAAGUUUAACUUGCACGUGCACGGUAGACCAUUCUCACGUGCACAAAUGGCUAGUAGUUCGAAAUGUGAGGUGCUAUGCUGACAGAUCGUGGGAAUUGCGCUUUCUCUGCGAGCAGUUACCACACUCAAAAUCGACUUUCUCGAGAAACAAUUGACUCCAGAAAAGCUUCACGUGAUGCAGUUAUUAUACAAGAUGGCAGAAAUUCUAGAUGAGUAACCUGGAUAACUUCCAUUAUUGCACCUGCCAGAAGACGAAUUACAUGUGUGGUUUAGGCAUAAGUCACCUAUGUUUCGAUUAAUUAACAUUUCUGGAUCUCGAUAAGGUUUGAAUUUUUAGUUCAUCUUUCGAGAUUCUCCAGAGUUACACAGAAAGCGCCUUUUCUUCAGGGAGCUGCCGUGACCAAUUUUCUGAAGAAAUGAGUGCAACUAAGUUUGUAUAGCUGCAUUGCAUUUUGACUCGUAGUGCUUUUAGCUAUUGUACUUUGUACAUUUGAUAGAUUAUUUGCAGGAUCUUUUGGGAGACCAGCCGUGCUGAAAGUGAUUUCUGAAUAGAUUU